rnacentral:lncRNA from 1 species
CUGAGGGUUUUCAGCCAAAGGUUACACAGGAUUCUUCUGCCAGUAAGUCCCUCUGCUUCUCCAAUUCUAGGCCUUGACAUUUAAAGCGACAGGUCCUGAAAAUAUGACGCGAAAGCCGGUGAAUGAAGGAGCCCACGCCUAGUCCCAGAGGGAUCUUCCAUAUGGAUUCUCAACUGGGCAGAGCGGGGAAAUGGCUCAACACGGACUUGUAGGUGGAUGGGCUGGGAACAAGCCUUACCAGGUGUCUGUAGCGAGGUCACAGCCUCAGGCCCAGCCCUCACACUCACGGAGCCAGGAGCAAGAUUUCCAAGAGAGACCUCAGCCUUGUCACCACCCUGUCCUCACUGGAUCCCUGUGGGCACACCUGUUGUCAAGCUGCCCACCCGUCCAACCUGAGUCCCACCCACAGCACUCCAAUCCUCGAGAACACAUACAUUUUCCUGCCCCUGCAGCUGGGAAGUAUAUACACCUCUAGGGCAGCUUGCCUUUGGAAGGAAAGGCUCUUAGAAAGUGAGUCAGAUAGGCCUGGCAGGAGGUGGGAAGCUGUUAGGGAUUUAAGAGGCCUGUGUCUCAAGACAGUGGUUUAAAAGAAAGAACUAGGUUCUCAGUAGGUACAGCAGUGCGUCCCAGGUCUCCAUGGACUCCGUGCUCUGUGUGGUGGGACACGGCUGCUGAGGGAUGGAAUGGGGCACUCCAGUGUUUGGGGACCCAGAGGAGGAGCCCUGGUUCCCAGGUCUACAAGUGCCUUGAGUAGUCAUCGUUAGGAAUCUAUCCCUCCUAAUUCCCUCUAGGCCCUUGGACCCUGCCAGCCUCAAAACAGAAGACAGAGACAAAUUUAAAUGUUAUCACUACGAUAAGCAGUGAAGCAGAAGGUGUCCAAUGCAGGGACCAUUCCCAUCACCAGAAGUCUAUCCCUCUUUCCCUCAGCUAAGGCCCCUUUGGGUGCUGUUAUAGCUCUAUGUCACCACAUACAUAGAGGCAGGAAAAAGUUUGUGAAGAACACAGUUUAGAAGGAAGAUACCGUGUUUUUCAUAAACCCCUUCCUGCAUGGAAAACCAUUUCCCAAGCUGCACUGUAGGAUCUCCAUCUCAGAGGCCAUGUCUAUUCCAGCUCCAUUUCAGCAGAGGUUGACACAGCAUCUGGCUCGUGGCACAGACCCCCCACCCACAUCCAUAACAGAAUUCAACCAGGGCCAAUUAGAGGCAUACAGAGGGACAACCAUGCCAUUUUAAUCUGAGCUGGAAGGAACAUGGCCUCUCUUUUCCUAAGAAGCAAAAUCAAAGUCUAAAUCAAAUUAACAUGCUAAGGCUUUGGAUACAUUCCUCUGAAAACAGUGUGGGCUUCGGGUGUUUGGGGGUCCAGCCAAACAACAAUUGGUGCAGUGAUAAUUAGCAAAUAGUAAGGUUUUAGAUGUCUGAAGAAAAUCAUCCCAUUUUUAUUUUCCCUCCAAUUCACUAAGCAUUUGAGAUUCUUCAAUUAUUCAGUCCCUCUUCUAUGUUCGGGGUUACAUAGAAUAAAAGACAGGGAAUUGGAAAUUCA